CAUCAGUUGAAAUUGAGCUGCCGAAGACCGCAAAUCCUAGACACAAUGAAGAUUAAAGUCGCAUUCUUUUUGGCAUUCGCAACCAUUGCCUUGGCCAGCGGCUUUCGAACGCCGGAUUGUCCGCAUUGGAGCAAAUGCUGGAAGGAUUAUCAAAGCGGCCGCGUUGUGUACUGAUUGCAAUUCAAAUAUUAAAUAAUGUGUAGUUCUAGAAAUGUCAACAUCAUCAUCAAACUGUGUGUACUCAGCAAUCAUAUAGUGCAUAAAUAGUUAUUAAUUAAAAAUGAUAUGAAACGAUCCCAAUGGAAUGCAAAAAA